rnacentral:rRNA from 1 species
UACGUAGGUGACCAGCGUUGUCCGGAUUUACUGGGCGUAAAGCGUGCGCAGGCGGUUUGCUAAGACAGGUGUGAAAUCCCCGGGCUUAACCUGGGAACUGCGCUUGUAACUGGCAAGCUGGAGUGUGGCAGAGGGGGGUGGAAUUCCACGUGUAGCAGUGAAAUGCGUAGAGAUGUGGAGGAACACCGAUGGCGAAGGCAGCCCCCUGGGCUAACACUGACGCUCAUGCACGAAAGCGUGGGGAGCAAACAGG